rnacentral:rRNA from 1 species
AUUGAACGCUGGCGGCAUGCUUUACACAUGCAAGUCGAACGGCAGCACGGGGGCAGCCCUGGUGGCGAGUGGCGAACGGGUGAGUAAUACAUCGGAACGUGCCCGGUCGUGGGGGGUAACGUAGCGAAAGUUACGCUAAUACCGCAUACGAUCUGAGGAUGAAACCGGGGGACCUUCGGGCCUUGCGCGAUCGUAGCGACCGAUGUCGGGUUAGGUAGUUGGUGGGGUAAGGGCCUACCAAGCCGACGAUCUGUAGCUGGUCUGAGAGGACGACAGGCCACACUGGGGCUGGGACACGGACCAGACUCCUACGGGAGGCAGCAGUGGGGAAUGUUGGACAAUGGGCGCAAGCCUGAUCCAGCCAUUCCGCGUGCAGGACGAAGGCCUUCGGGUUGUAAACUGCUUUUGUACGGAACGAAAAGGCUCUGGCUAAUACCUGGGGCUCAUGACGGUACCGUAAGAAUAAGCACCGGCUAACUACGUG